UUGCACCUGAUGGCGAGUGGCGAACGGGUGAGUAAUGCAUCGGAACGUGCCCAAUCGUGGGGGAUAACGCAGCGAAAGCUGUGCUAAUACCGCAUACGAUCUAUGGAUGAAAGCGGAGGACCUUCGGGCCUCGCGCGAUUGGAGCGGCCGAUGUUAGAUUAGGUAGUUGGUGGGGUAAAGGCUCACCAAGCCGACGAUCUAUAGCUGGUCUGAGAGGACGACCAGCCACACUGGAACUGAGACACGGUCCAGACUCCUACGGGAGGCAGCAGUGGGGAAUUUUGGACAAUGGGCGCAAGCCUGAUCCAGCAAUACCGCGUGCAGGAAGAAGGCCUUCGGGUUGUAAACUGCUUUUGUACGGAACGAAAAGGCUCUUUCUAAUAAAGAGGGCUCAUGACGGUACCGUAAGAAUAAGCACCGGCUAACUACGUGCCAGCAGCCGCGGUAAUACGUAGGGUGCGAGCGUUAAUCGGAAUUACUGGGCGUAAAGCGUGCGCAGGCGGUUUUGUAAGACAGACGUGAAAUCCCCGGGCUCAACCUGGGAAUUGCGUUUGUGACUGCAAGGCUAGAGUACGGUAGAGGGGGGUAGAAUUCCGCGUGUAGCAGUGAAAUGCGUAGAUAUGCGGAGGAACACCGAUGGCGAAGGCAGCCCCCUGGACCUGUACUGACGCUCAUGCACGAAAGCGUGGGGAGCAAACAGGAUUAGAUACCCUGGUAG
rnacentral:rRNA from 1 species